rnacentral:rRNA from 1 species
UACAGAGGGUGCGAGCGUUGUCCGGAAUCACUGGGCGUAAAGGGCGCGUAGGCGGCUUGAUAAGCGUGCGGUGAAAGCCCGGGGCUCAACCCCGGGUCGGCCGUGCGAACUGUCGAACUGGAGCACUGUAGAGGCAGGUGGAAUUCCGGGUGUAGCGGUGGAAUGCGUAGAGAUCCGGAAGAACACCGGUGGCGAAGGCGGCCUGCUGGGCAGUGGCUGACGCUGAGGCGCGACAGCGUGGGGAGCAAACAGG